CUGCCAGACCUACAGAAUCGAGAGUCGGGGGAGGAAGAAGGAAGAGAGGAGUUUGAUUGCUGCUCAGCCCUCACACUUCUCGUGCUGUGGUCAGUUAGACGCUGAUUACUACUACAUUCUGCUUCCUCUCAGCUGCAGUUCUAGGUGCUUUCUGUCAGUAAAUGACCAAGUAUUGUGGUUCGGAAGACAAAUGAAAGGCAGACGUGCAAAGAGGAUGGAGAAUACAAGCAGGCAAUAAGGAGAUUUCAUUGCAA